rnacentral:rRNA from 1 species
UGGGGAAUAUUGCACAAUGGGCGCAAGCCUGAUGCAGCCAUGCCGCGUGUGUGAAGAAGGCCUUCGGGUUGUAAAGCACUUUCAGCGAGGAGGAAGGUGGUGAACUUAAUACGUUCAUCAAUUGACGUUACUCGCAGAAGAAGCACCGGCUAACUCCGUGCCAGCAGCCGCGGUAAUACGGAGGGUGCAAGCGUUAAUCGGAAUUACUGGGCGUAAAGCGCACGCAGGCGGUUUGUUAAGUCAGAUGUGAAAUCCCCGGGCUCAACCUGGGAACUGCAUUUGAAACUGGCAAGCCAGAGUCUCGUAGAGGGGGGUAGAAUUCCAGGUGUAGCGGUGAAAUGCGUAGAGAUCUGGAGGAAUACCGGUGGCGAAGGCGGCCCCCUGGACGAAGACUGACGCUCAGGUGCGAAAGCGUGGGGAGCAAACAGUAUUAGAUACCCUGGUAGUCCACGCUGUAAACGAUGUCGAUUUUGGAGGUUGUGCCCUUGAGGCGUGGCUUCCGGAGCUAACGCGUUAAAUCGACCGCCU